rnacentral:rRNA from 1 species
AGGAUAAACGCUGGCGGCGUGCCUAAAACAUGCAAGUCGAACGGUUACCUGCUUUCGGGCGGGUGGCAGUGGCGGACGGCUGAGUAACACGUGGGUGACCUACCUUCGAACGGGGGAUAACUGCCCGAAAGGGUGGCUAAUACCGCAGACAUCGUGGAUUCGAUUCUACGAUUGAACCGAUUCAGGGUUCGGAGAGGGGCCUGCGGCCGAUUAGCUAGCUGGUGGGGUAAUGGCCUACCAGGGCUUCGAUCGGUAGCUGGUCUGAGAGGAUGAUCAGCCAGACUGGGACUGCGAACGGCCCAGACUCCUACGGGAGGCAGCAGUUAGGAAUUUUGGGCAAUGGGCGAAAGCCUGACCCAGCAACGCCGCGUGGGUGAUGAAGGCCCUCGGGUCGUAAAGCCCUUUUCCCAGGGACGAUAAUGACGGUACCUGGGGAAUCAGCCCCGGCUAACUACGUGCCAGCAGCCGC